rnacentral:rRNA from 1 species
AGGGCGCAUGGGGGAUGCCUAGGCUCUCGGAGGCGAAGAAGGACGUGACAAGCUGCGAAAAGCCGGGGCGAGUGGCAAAUGCACCGUGACCCCCGGAUGUCCGAAUGGGGCAACCCGUCGGGAGCGAUCCCGACAUUGCGCGGAUAGCGCAAGGCGAACGCGGGGAACUGAAACAUCUUAGUACCCGCAGGAAAAGAAAGUAACAACGAUUCCCCCAGUAGUGGCGAGCGAACGGGGAGGAGCCCAAACCGGCGGUGUCGCAAGGCAUGAGCCGGGGUAAUAGGAGCGUCAAGAAGUGAGUCGGAAGCGGGCGGAACCGUUUGGAAUGUCGGGCCGCAGCGGGUGAGAGCCCCGUACGCGAAGCGGAAGAUAAGCGAGACGCCACCUGAGUAUGCCGGAACACGAGAAAUUCCGGUUGAAAUAUCGGGGACCAUCCCGAAAGGCUAAAUACUACCGAGAGACCGAUAGCGAACGAGUACCGUGAGGGAAAGGUGAAAAGCACCUCGGACAGAGGAGUGAAAUAGACCCUGAAACCAUGCGCCUACAAGCGGUCGGAGCCACGUGAUGUGGUGACGGCGUGCCUUUUGCAUAAUGAACCUGCGAGUUGCCGUCGCCGGCGAGGCUAAGGGCCUGAGGUCCGGAGCCGGAGCGAAAGCGAGUCCGAAUAGGGCGCAGAGUCGGCGGGGGCAGACGCGAAACCGAGUGAUCUACGCAUGGGCAGGAUGAAGGACGGGUAACACCGUCUGGAGGUCCGAACCGGUAAGCGUUGAAAAGCUUUCGGAUGACCUGUGCGUAGGAGUGAAAGGCCAAUCAAACUCGGAGAUAGCUCGUACUCCCCGAAAUGCAUUUAGGUGCAGCCUCGGGCAAGUACCGUGGAGGUAGAGCGACUGACUGGAUACGAGGGCUUCACCGCCUAUCAAGUCCUGACAAACUCCGAAUGCCACGGCAUGCUGCCCGGGAGUGAGGGCGCGGGUGCUAAGGUCCGCGUCCGAGAGAGGAACAACUCAGACCACCGGCUAAGGCCCCCAAAUACGGGCCGAGUUGAAGCCAAUAACGAGGUGGGGCCGCAUAGACAGCUGGGAUGUUGGCUUGGAAGCAGCCAUUCAUUUGAAGAGUGCGUAACAGCUCACCAGUCGAGUGGCCCCGCAUGGAUAAUACCCGGGCAUAAGCCCGUUGCCGAAGCCGUGGGACACUUUUUUAUGGAGUGUCGGUAGGGGAGCAUUCCGGUCACCGCUGAAGGCGGGGCGUGAGCCCCGCUGGAGGGUCCGGAAAAGCAAAUGUAGGAAUAAGUAACGACAAUGGGGGCGGGAAACCCCCACGCCGGAAGACCAAGGGUUCCUGAUCAACGCUAAUCGGAUCAGGGUAAGCCGGGACCUAAGGGCCAGCCGCGAGGCGACCCCGAUGGACAUGCGGUAAAUAUUCCGCAGCCCCGGAGGUCAAGUGAUGUGGAGACGGAGGAGUGACACACCCGCGUGCUGACGGAAUAGCACGUUGAACCGCGUAGGUAGACGGGCCGCAGGCAAAUCCGCGGCCUGUGCUGAAACGGGACAGUACGGCGAGCCCCCGGGCAAGCCGACAGCGGUGGUAACCAUACUCCCGAGAAAAUCCGCUAAGCGUUAUAAAGACCUUCGGGCCCGUACCGCAAACCGACACAGGUGGUCGGGUAGAAGAUACCAAGGCGCUCGAGAGAUUCACGGUUAAGGAACUAGGCAAACUGACCCCGUAACUUCGGGAUAAGGGGUCCCCGCUUCAUGGCGGGGCGCAGAGAAUAGGUCCAGGCAACUGUUUAACAAAAACACAGGGCUGUGCGAAAUUGAAAGAUGAAGAAUACAGCCUGACACCUGCCCGGUGCCGGAAGGUUAAGAGGAGAUGUCACAGCAAUGGAAGCAUUGAAUUGAAGCCCCGGUAAACGGCGGCCGUAACUAUAACGGUCCUAAGGUAGCGAAAUUCCUUGUCGGGUAAGUUCCGACCUGCACGAAUGGUGUAAUGAUCCGGACACUGUCUCAACCGUGAGCUCGGUGAAAUUGUAGUAUCGGUGAAGAUGCCGAUUACCCGCAACGGGACGAAAAGACCCCGUGAACCUUUACUGCAGCUUUGCAUUGUGACCGGGUGCUGGGUGUGUAGGAUAGUCAGGAGGCAUAGAAGGCGGGACGCCAGUCCCGUUGGAGCCGGCGUUGAAAUACUGACCUCCCCGCAUCUGGUCUCUAACUCCGAUGUCGGAGGACAUUGCAUGGCAGGUAGUUUGACUGGGGUGGUCGCCUCCAAAAGAGUAACGGAGGCUUCUAAAGGUGCGCUCAGGCCGAUUGGUAACCGGCCGCGGAGUGUAAUGGCACAAGCGCGCUUGACUGGGAGACCAACAAGUCGAUCAGGUAGGAAACUAGAGCAUAGUGAUCCGGUGGUUCCGCAUGGAAGGGCCAUCGCUCAAAGGAUAAAAGGUACUCCGGGGAUAACAGGCUGAUCCCUCCCAAGA